AGACAGACUUUGAACCCAGGUCUCUGACUCCCAGCCCAUUGCUCUUUCCAGUACUUCUCCUUUAUGGAAGAAUGAACAGUUACCAACACAACAAGAUAUUUAAGAAGCACCUACUAUGCACCAGUUCACAGUUCUGUUUACUUGCUACUUUGAAACACAACAGUAGCAGGUAAAACUUUGCAAACCAGCCCAUCAUCUACCAUUUUCAGUGGAUGUCAGUGAAUGCCAGCAUGUGGGCAAGAGAGACUAGAAACGAUGAAACUCUGGUAGAUGGAUCUGCCCGCCAGAAGGAAGGUCUCUAAUGAGGAAUUAAGAGUUGCAGAUGGAUUUCCAGUUGGUCCAGUGUGCAGUAAUGGAUGUCAUCCAAUCAUUAACUCAAGGAUCCGCAGUUCUGAGAAGGGAUCCUGACCCAGCUGAUACCCUCCUUGGACUCAGGUCAUAUGCAAACCAGAGGAUGAUCGUCACCGCAACCUUCACAUCUAGACAAACUUAACAUCUAGUACAAACUCAACUCAUCCCUGAGAGUCACCUGGUUGCUUACUUAACGUCUGUGGAAUAAAUGAAGACGGCAAGAAGAAUAUUUAUCCUGUUAGGGAAGAUGGGAAGAUUCAGUUUCUCCCUAUUUGAAAUGCAUUCCUUAGAUUUAAGCCAAACAUCUCAUACAGCGGAAAUGUAAACAGUUUUUUUGGGGGGGAGUGGGGUGGGUGGAGUAGAGGUGGGUACAGCAUGUGGACCUUUGGUGGAGAUGGAAACCAUUGAUAUCCGUUACAGGGACUCGCCCUUCACUUUGAAGGCUGUUUACUUUCAGACAUUUUUUCCCUCUGGGCGUAUGUUUUGUCUUUCCCUGGUCUCACUUUCUAACCAUAUACAGCUUUAUAUAUCUCUUCCUCUGAACUUAUCCUAUCCAAUACGGUAGCCAGUAGCCACAUGUAUCUACUCAACACUUGAGAUGGGGCCAGUAUGGACUGUGUCAUAAGUGUAAAAUUAUUUACACUUCUUACGAAAUUAUUUUUUACAAAAUUAUUUCCCAAACUUAGUAUAAAAUGUAAAAUAGCUCAACAAUUAUCCUGAUUAUAUA